AACAAGGUGUUUGCAGUUAAAAAGCUCGUAGUUGGAUUUCGGGCGGGGCGACGCGGUCCGCCUCUGGUGUGCACUGCGGCGACCCGCCUUCCGGCCGGGGACGGGCUCCUGGGCUUCACUGUCCGGGACUCGGAGUCGGCGAGGUUACUUUGAGUAAAUUAGAGUGUUCAAAGCAGGCCUACGCUCUGAAUACGUUAGCAUGGAAUAACGCGAUAGGACUCUGGCCUAUUUCGUUGGUCUGUGGGACCGGAGUAAUGAUUAAGAGGGACGGUCGGGGGCAUUCGUAUUGCGUUGUCAGAGGUGAAAUUCUUGGAUUCACGCAAGACGAACUUCUGCGAAAGCAUUUGCCAAGCACGCGCCCGUUAAUCAAGAACGAAAGUUGGGGGCUCGAAGA
rnacentral:rRNA from 1 species